AACCUAAGCGAGAUUAGCUAGUUGGUGAGGUAAAGGCUCACCAAGGCGACGAUCUCUAGCUGUUCUGAGAGGAAGAUCAGCCACACUGGGACUGAGACACGGCCCAGACUCCUACGGGAGGCAGCAGUGGGGAAUAUUGCACAAUGGGGGAAACCCUGAUGCAGCCAUGCCGCGUGUGUGAAGAAGGCCUUCGGGUUGUAAAGCACUUUCAGUUGUGAGGAAAGGUGAGUAGUUAAUAGCUGCUCACUGUGACGUUAGCAACAGAAGAAGCACCGGCUAACUCCGUGCCAGCAGCCGCGGUAAUACGGAGGGUGCGAGCGUUAAUCGGAAUUACUGGGCGUAAAGCGUGCGUAGGCGGUUUGUUAAGCAAGAUGUGAAAGCCCAGGGCUCAACCUUGGAACUGCAUUUUGAACUGGCAAACUAGAGUACUGUAGAGGGUGGUGGAAUUUCCAGUGUAGCGGUGAAAUGCGUAGAGAUUGGAAGGAACAUCAGUGGCGAAGGCGGCCACCUGGACAGAUACUGACGCUGAGGCACGAAAGCGUGGGGAGCAAACAGGAUUAGAUACCCUGGUAGUCCACGCCGUAAACGAUGUCAACUAGCUGUCUGUGGACUUGAUCCGUGGGUAGCGGAGCUAACGCAUUAAGUUGACCGCCUGGGGAGUACGGCCGCAAGGUUAAAACUCAAAUGAAUUGACGGGGGCCCGCACAAGCGGUGGAGCAUGUGGUUUAAUUCGAUGCAACGCGAAGAACCUUACCAUCCCUUGACAUCCACAGAAGAGACUAGAGAUAGACUUGUGCCUUCGGGAACUGUGAGACAGGUGCUGCAUGGCUGUCGUCAGCUCGUG
rnacentral:rRNA from 1 species